UGAAUACGAGACGCUACGGCGUUGAAGCAGUCUAUGUCAUACUUCCAAGAAAAGCUCGCAAUGUCAUAAACAAAUAAUGCCUGUACCAUAACCGACACAGGUGGGUAGGUAGAGUAUACUAAGGGGCGCGAGAUAACUCUCUCUAAGGAACUCGGCAAAAUGACUCCGUAACUUCGGGAGAAGGAGUGCCUUAUUUAUAAGGUUGCAAUAACAAGAUCCAAGCAACUGUUUAUCAAAAACACAGGUCUCCGCUAAGUCGUAAGACGAUGUAUGGGGGCUGACGCCUGCCCAGUGCCAGAAGGUUAAAGAAGUUGGUUAGCAUUCGCGAAGCUGAUAACUGAAGCCCUGGUGAACGGCGGCCGUAACGAUAACGGUCCUAAGGUAGCGAAAUUCCUUGUCGGGUAAGUUCCGACCCGCACGAAAGGCGUAAUGAUUUGGAUACUGUCUCGGAGAGGGGCUCGGUGAAAUAGACUUGUCUGUGAAGAUGCGGACUACCUGCACCUGGACAGAAAGACCCUAUGAAGCUUUACUGUAACUUGAAAUUGAAAUUGGACUUUAUUUGCGCAGUAUAGGUGGGAGGCGUUGAGAGUAUUCUUGCGGGAAUAUUGGAGCCAUCAGUGAGAUACCACUCUUGUAAUGUUAGAUUUCUAACUUUGUAUCAUUAUCUGGUCAAAGAACAGUUUCAGGCGGGCAGUUUGACUGGGGCGGUCGCCUCCCAAACGGUAACGGAGGCGUACAAAGGUUUCCUCUGAACGGGUAGAAAUCGUAUCUAGAGUGUAAAGGCAUAAGGAAGCUUGACUGUGAGACCUACAAGUCGAGCAGGGACGAAAGUCGGUCUUAGUGAUCUGACGGUGCUGAGUGGAAAGGCCGUCACUCAACGGAUAAAAGUUACUCUAGGAUAACAGGCUGAUCUCCCCCAAGAGUUCACAUCGACGGGGAGGUUUGGCACCUCGAUGUCGGCUCAUCGCAUCCUGGGGCGGUAGUACGUCCCAAGGGUUGGGCUGUUCGCCCAUGAAAGCGGUACGCGAGCUGGGUUCAGAACGUCGUGAGACAGUUCGGUCCAUAUCCGGUGUAGGCGUUAGAAUAUUGAGAGGAGCCUUCUUUAGUACGAGAGGACCGAGAAGGACAUACCUCUGGUGUACCAGUUAUCGUGCCAACGGUAAACGCUGGGUAGCUAUGUAUGGAGAGGAUAACCGCUGAAAGCAUCUAAGUGGGAAGCCCACCUCAAGAUAAG
rnacentral:rRNA from 1 species